GGUUUUACAACGACCCGAAGCUGGUGCUGUUGGACGAAAAUGCCACUCGAGAUAACUGCUUUAGUGCCGUCGACGCUUUUGGAUACGUUUCUCAGUUAUCUGUGAGGAUUAUCGUGGAACUUCACAAAUGGACAGUCUUCGUGGGAUUCUCCGAAUGUUUGGCUGUUCUUAGCAUAUAUAUACUACUCUAAUUUCGUGUAGUUGAACUGAAGUUGAACUGUCGACAUCUCUAAUUUCUAUUAUUCGUAGUUUCCGAAUUUCCUAUGUUGGACAUGGAAUCUUAAAUUCAUGUCAGUUUUUAAUUUCUAAUAUUCGUAGUUUUGGGAUUUUGUUUAGCUGUACAUAUAUUCUAAUGUUCAAAAUAUUAUGCCAUUUUUUGUUGUUUA